rnacentral:rRNA from 1 species
AGUGAACGCUGGCGGUAGGCCUAACACAUGCAAGUCGAACGGCAGCACAGGAGAGCUUGCUCUCUAGGUGGCGAGUGGCGGACGGGUGAGGAAUACAUCGGAAUCUGCCCAGUCGUGGGGGAUAACGUAGGGAAACUUACGCUAAUACCGCAUACGACCUUCGGGUGAAAGAGGGGGAUCGCAAGACCUCUCGCGAUUGGAUGAGCCGAUGUCGGAUUAGCUAGUUAGCGGGGUAAUGGCCCACCAAGGCGACGAUCCGUAGCUGGUCUGAGAGGAUGAUCAGCCACACUGGAUCUGAGACACGGUCCAGACUCCUACGGGAGGCAGCAGUGGGGAAUAUUGGACAAUGGGCGCAAGCCUGAUCCAGCCAUACCGCGUGGGUGAAGAAGGCCUUCGGGUUGUAAAGCCCUUUUGUUGGGAAAGAAAUCUUUCAGGCUAAUACCCUGGGAGGAUGACGGUACCCAAAGAAUAAGCACCGGCUAACUUCGUG